AUUUGUACACAGGACACAUAUUUAUUCUUUUAAGUUUAGAUUUUACUGAGAAAUGAGGACCUUAUCUGGACUUCACUGGGAGAAUUAUGAGUGGCCAGAGAUACUACAUUUUGAGCUGGAUGCCAGACCUUGAAAGAACUCUGCAUUUUUCAUUUUGAGAGAAGUCAGUGUGUUUUAUAAUGGGAGGAAGAUUAAAGCAGGUAUUUUGGCAUCAGAAGGACUGACCUUGACAGAGAUUGGUGAGGUAACAUUAUUUCCUUCUUUGGACCACAAGAAAAUGCUGUAUUUUUCAGCCUCAAUUGCAGGUUACUUCCUUGCUCCUGAAAAUGAUGAUGUUCUAUUUUCUACUAUUUGUGUCUAAAAAUUUAAACAGGUCCUGAGAAGAGGAUUAGAAAAAGGCAACACAUCAAAAAGUUAAGAGGCAGAAAUAGCUUUUAUGUUGCUGGUAAAUUUAAUGAGAUCUUAAGUUAUUCGACUGGCAAGUCUCAUCUCUUUGAGCAUCUCAGUGAAGACUGUCAGAAAUCAUCAAAAUUCAACACAACAGAGUAAAAGCUAAUAGCCUUUUUGUUAUACCAAAACUGAAAGGAUUGAUGUUCUUAAGUAACAAAAAGCAAUAAAGAUAAAAUACAGGACAUCAAAGAUAUCACAUACAUUCAUAUAUCUCAAGAAAUGAAAGCAAUGAAAGAGCUGUGGAUACAGAGCUGCUUGGAUCAAUGCCUGAUUCUAGGUGCAUGCGGCAGAAAGAACAAAAUGGGUCUGAGACAUCUGUUGUUGUUAAGAAAAUAAGGAAGUCUCAACUAAUGAUGGAGACAUGCCAAAGAACAUAGGAGCUAACUAGAAGUGGCUCUCAGUGACACAAACUGAGAUAAAUUGAGCAAGGGAAUAAAUAAUGAUGGCAAUAGAUUAUUCAGAUUAAUUAAACCAAAUACACAUGAAUCCACACUAAUAUAAAUAAAUAAUUGGAUAAAUAA